rnacentral:tRNA from 1 species
GCCUCGGUGGUGAAAUGGUAGACACGCUAGAUUCAAAAUCUGGUGCUAAAUAGGUAUGGAGGUUCAAAUCCUCUCCGAGGCA